ensembl:lncRNA
GCACAUAGAGCUGCACCGGAGGAUGUCACAAAUUCCAAGAGGAGCUGCCUCUCUAGGAAUUUGCUAGAUUCUGGAAGACAACUCCAUGGUACGCUCCGACCAAAAGUUGGGCAAUUGAAUGGUGUUGGGUUCUGUCUGCAGUGAACCCUGUUUUUUGAAUUACAGAAUUAAGAUCCUCUGCAGGUCAGUCAUUAAUGGAUCGUGUUUUCCUUUGAACCCAGGUCCAUCCUGAGAAUGCUUCUUCGGAAAAUAUCUAUGCGACCUCACCAUACAGAGUCCAGCCUGGAAAGGCAAACCAAGAGCCAAGGAGUCUACAAGCUGCCCAACCAUUGCCCUGAAAACUACAAAUCCCAUUUUAAAUAUCCAGCUGGAAAGUGCAGUGUAUUGUCCAGGACUUGUGGGAUCCAGGUUCGAGUUCUAUGCAGAACCACAAAGCCUAUUGUCAAGACGUCAAUCGUUCUCUCUUUUUCUCAACCAGGGCUGUUGUGUGUCCAUUGGGAGAAAUGUGGGAUAGAAAUUAAAGAACGAAUAAUAAUAAAUAAUAAUGAGCUUUGCUUCUUUCAUUGUUUCCUUCUAAAAUAAGAAACGACAACUAUCAUUUCUACUGAGAAACUUUUUAACUGUUUUGGAAGCUGCCUUGGGGAAAAGGCGGCAUACAAAUGCAAUGAGUCAAUUAUUUAUUAUUUAUUUACAGCAUUUAUAUUCCGCCCUUCUUUCUCACCUCGAAAGGGACUCAGGGCGGAUCACACUACACAUAUAGGCAAACAUUCAAUGCCUUUUAACAUAGAACAAAGACAAACAAGCGAGCGGGCCUCGAACUCAUGACCUCCUGGUCAGAGUGAUUCAUUGCAGUUAAUUGCAGCUGGUUCGCUCUCCCACCUGCGCCACAGCCCGGGCCCAAUCUCGCCAAGGCAGCAAAUACAUGCAAUAAAUAUAUAUUACAAAUGGUCAUGUGAAUGUAACCAGCCGGUAUCACAAAGGCAGGAUCGAAAUGCAAUCAAUACAUACCGUAAAGCUGGUAUACAAAGGAAAUAAAAAACUAGAUUUACGGCAAGAAAACCCUGCUUUUGGUCAGAAAGGUUUUGAAGGGACACUGCACAACAUUUCUCCAGACAGAGCUGCCUUCUGGUGCAUCUGCUGCAGAAUCUAUAUAUAUAUAAAAGGGUAAUGAAAUUUCGGCCUAGGACAAAACAACAAAACCACACAUCCCAGAAACACUAAACUUGGCAGCACUGUAGCGGAACCUUUGUGCUACAGUCCUUGCGAGCGCAGUGGGAGGAAUUGGAGACGGACAACUGGAGUCUUUCCAAGAAAACAGUUUAUUGGCAAGCGGCCGCUGGGGUUCCCCCUAGCACAACACGGUGCUUUCCCAGGGAGAACCCCCAGCGGUGGGCUGAGUAAAUAUUUAUACACAUUACAGGGUUCGGGUUAUGCCCGCCCACAAGCAAAUUCAUUGGCUUAGAGUUGUGACGCGGCUCGACUUGUAUCCAAUCAGCACUGACCAGCGGCCCGGGUGCACUCUUUCUGUGUCGUGUUCACAAUCACUCAGAGCGCCUGUGUGCGCAUGCGCAGUUUGUUUAUCUUUAGCUUUCAUUUCUUCAGAAACACGUGAUUUCCCAGAAGUCACAUGUUUCUGUGAGCUUAUGCACCCGGGUCGCUAGCCGUCACCAUCUCUGCCCAUAUAUGGCAUUUCCUGGGGUUCUUUAACCUCCCGCCUCAGCACAACCCCUCAUCCAUGCCUCUACGUUCAUACAACAAAAAGAAAAGAAAAAUAAAGUCCUCAUUAGAGGGAGAGGAAUAAUUGUUUUUAUCCAAUUACUGCCAGUUCAAAGGCUAAGCUCCACCCACUUGGUCUCCUAGCAACCCAUUCAGCCAGGGGACAGGCAGAGUUAGGCCUCACUUAGGCCUCUUCCCCACUGCCUAUAAAAUACAGAUUAUCUGAUUUUAACUGGAUUAUAUGGCAGUGUAGACUCAAGGCCCUUCCACACAGCUAUAUAACCCAUUUAGAAUCUUAUAUUAUCUGCUUUGAGCCUUCUCUACCAAAGAGUGGAGCUGCCUCGGUGAACUACAAUUGCAUCAUAACCAUUCAAAUAGAAGCCAUGGUUCUGGUUUUCAUGGGAGUUGUAGUUCCCCAUGGUCUUGAGUCUUCUCUACCAAAGAGUGGAGCUGCCUCAGUGAACUACAAUUCCCAUAGCAUUGUGUCAUAACCAUUGGAAUAGAAACCAUAGUCCUGGCUUCCAUGGGAAUUGUAGUUCCUCAUUGUCUUGAGCCUUCUGUGCCAAAGAGUGGAGCUGCCUCAGUGAACUACAAUUCCCAUAGCAUUGCAUCAUAACCAUUCGAAUAGAAGUCAUGGUUCUGGUUUUCAUGGGAGUUGUAGUUUCCCAUGUUGUUGUCGACCGCGCUUUAGGGGAUUGGGCCCUUAAGGAGAGAGCCGAUCCGGUCCUGAGAGAACGGACCUUGGCGGAGCCGAUAGGAAAAUAUGAGCCGCAAUACAACCUGAAGCCGAAAUGAAGAAGGUCCGCCAAAGUUGAAGGAAAAUCCGCCAAGGAGUCUUUAUUGAGCGAUUCAGCUGAAAAGGACUCUAGUAGCGAUCAUUCAGUCUACUAGGGUACCACAUAAUCAAAAUAAAGCCAUAUUUAUACAAAAUUUCAGUCUGACAGCCCUUUGAAUUUCCCGCUCCGCUCCCCCGCCCAUCUGAUCGUUGAUAGGCUAGAAGGUUGAACGAGGCGGGCUUUCGUUUCCCUCCUUGCUCCGUUGGCCCAAUAGGAAGCUGCCUUUUGUCUCUACUCGGGCCAAUCAGGAAGGAGAAGGCGGGAGUUAUUGAAACAAUGAAGUGACAGGGCAGGAAAUAUCGGAUUAAUUCCUGCUAGACCGAUUUCUAAAGGGAUUAAUGGCAGCAAUCAAGGGUGUCCGGGUUUCUGUCACGUAUACAGAUUUCAGAUAUGCCUUGGGGUGUCAGAGAUGGAAGCAAAGAUGGGUGGUGAUGAGCCAUAUUGACAGGCUCUGCAGGGCGCCUUCCUGAGGUGUCCUGGAUUUUCCUUUGGGUGAGAUAUGACAAUGUUUGCCUUGGGGCGAAUCACCUUUAGGUCAACACUCCGAAUUCGGCGACUCAAGCCCUAUAUUGUCCAUGCAAUCUGAAUUUGAUUGGGUUUAGCGGUGGCAGAUUAUCCUUUUGUUUUUGGGAAGGGAAGCCUGGGUCAUAGGAAAUGGGAUGGGUUCUGGGGUUCAGGUUGAGUUCAAAAUAUUUCCUAUUUGAUUUCAUGACUUGACAAUUAUAUGAAAUAAAAUGAAAAAUAAAAUAAAGUUGGAAUAUAAACCAUGCUGGGAAAAAUACAUAUUUUCCGGGGAUCCCAAAGAGUACAAAUACAUAUAGGCAGAUAGAUAGAUUUCAUGGAAAUAAGGGAGAAUUCAUAAAAGUGAGUUACAUUGCAUAAAGGGGAAUCAUGAAUGGUAUAAACAAUUGAAAAUAUUUGAUAAGAACGAAGUUCAUAACAUCUGGAGAACCCAAUAUGGAAAUUCAUAAAAGUGGAGUUUUAGCAGCAUGAUUUUACAAUUCAUGAAGUUGUUAUCUCUUGCCUCAGGCUAAAAGGUCAAACACCUUUUGUGCAGAGAGUCACAGUAAACUCCAGUAAAAAAUCUCAAUCACCUUCUACUAUAAAUAUAUGGAAUAUAGAACAUAAAGUCUUGAUUUUUGAACUAUCUUUUACAAAGUCCUGG